AAAGAAGUGGCUGAGUGGACAAAAGCGGUAGACUGUAAAUCUAUUGAACCCUGUUCUUCGUUGGUUCGAAUCCAACCUUCUUUA
rnacentral:tRNA from 1 species